AUGAUCAGCAUGCCGCGUGAGUGAUGAAGGCCUUCGGGUUGUAAAGCUCUUUCGGCGGGGACGAUAAGGUCGGUGCUGGUAGAAGAAGCUCUGGCUAAUUCCGUGCCAGCAGCCGCCGUAAUACUAAGGGGGCUAGCGUUGUUCGGUAUUACUGGGCGUAAAGUUCGCGUAAAUUAUUGGGCAAAUCGGGUGUGAAAGCCCUGGGCUCAACUCGGGGUCUGCCCCCCAGACUUAACUUCUGAAGUGCGUUAGAAAUUGGUGGAAUUCCCGGUGUAAAAGUGAAAUGCAUAUAUAUUGGGAAGGAACACCUUUGGCGAAAGCGGGGCACUGGACCGUUACUGAAGCUGAUGCCCGGAACCUUGGGGAACAAUCAGGAUUAAAUACCCUGGUAGUCCACGCCCUAAAAUACCCUGGCUUGCCGUG
rnacentral:rRNA from 1 species